rnacentral:lncRNA from 1 species
AUUAGCACUCCCUGUGGAACAAGAACCCCUCAGCAAAUGUGACGUCAUCUCUCCUGGAUCCUAAGGAAUCAAAGGAAGGGGCCCGUGGGUCUCUAGUUCUCCAGCCAGGAUUCUGUGAUACUUCGUUGGAUCUUCACAGUUACAUACUCUCAUUAUUGCCAGCUUUUCACUCCCGAAGUUGGGGGUGGGGGUGGGGUCUCCCGAUUUCCCACCUCUCCCGUUUGGGGUUCAUCCUACACGGAGAAGCUGGAUUUACUUUCCUGAAGCACAACUCCGAUCCCAUCCACCACCAGCUCAAGCACCUUCCGUCAGUUUUCAAUAUCUAGCAAAUAAAUUCCACAUCUUUUCUCCUUAGCAUUCGCUCUUCCAGGAUGUGGCCUCAACUUGUCUCUCACCAUCAUUCCUCUACAUAUAUGCCAGCUAAGUUCCGCGCGCAUUGCCGUGGUCCAAACAUACCUCUGCCGUCUUCCCUCGUCCAGGAACAGCCUUCCUCUGUCACUUUUUGUCAGCAUCCCCUAGAUCUUUCAAGUCGCACUUCCAACUCCAGAUUCUCCCUGAAGCCAUCCUUGACGAUCCCAUCUGUGACGCGCUCUUUCUCCCUUGAGGGCAGUUGCUACACAGAACAUUCGCAUUUUCACCCACUUGUGAACUUACAAUAUAGAGAAACUUUUGCGUUAUAAUUAUUUACACCUCUGUUUUAUGUCUUGUCCUGGAUUAAAAGAUGCUCCUUUGAAGCAUUGCCUGCGUCUCAUAUAUCUUUGUGCUGUGGAGAAAGCAAGUAGCACACAGGCACGCCAAUAUUUGCUGAACGAGUGAAUGUGUGUAAAAUGAAAAGAAAUAAAACGUAUGUAGUUCCAGCUUCUUCCACAAGGUGGCGGCAUGAGAUCAAGCAUUGCUUUCUACCAUCUUGGUCUAGUUGCUAUAAAGCAGCUGAAGUAAGAGCUGUCUUAGUCCAGAGGCAAGGCAGAAGUCAGGACAACUGGCAAUGGCCUGGGUGGCAGUGGAUGACCCUGACAUCUGUGAUGUCUGAACAAGCUCUAAGUGCUUCACAGUGCCUGCUUAAGCCUCCUUCAUGGCUGGAACAAAUUGUUCUUAAUUGUCCCUUCCACAGUGGGGAAUCUUUACAUUCCUGGAGUAGACAUCCUUCCCAACUCACUGAUAGGUUGGAGGUCUAUCAGUUACCCUCAACCUGA